rnacentral:misc_RNA from 1 species
UACGUAGGGGGCAAGCGUUGUCCGGAUUUAUUGGGCGUAAAGCGCACGCAGGCGGCCUGAUAAGUCGGAUGUGAAAGUCCGAGGCUCAACCUCGGAACGCCAUCCGAUACUGUUGGGCUAGAGGUAGGUAGAGGAGAGUGGAAUUCCUGGUGUAGCGGUGAAAUGCGUAGAUAUCAGGAGGAACACCGACAGCGAAGGCAGCUCUCUGGGCCUUACCUGACGCUCAGGUGCGAAAGCUGGGGGAGCAAACAGG